UAUUUUAAAUCUCACAUUUUUAUCUGUAUUUAUUUAUUUUGUUUCAAAUGAUCCCAAUGUUAAAAUUACACGUAUGAUCGGGCCGAACCUGGUCGACCCAAUAAAAAUAAGAAGAGACCCAAAUCCGACCCAAAAUCCAAUCUGACUGGGCCUACCCAAGGUCCCAAGUCCGAAUAAUUAACAUUUCCAGCUAAGUUUAUUUCUAAAUAAAAUAAACGAAACGGAUAGCGUACUAUCUAUCUCUCUGAAGAAAAAAAAAAAAAAAAAAAAAAAAGUCCAAUCCGACUGGGCCUACCAUCCAACAGCUUGCUCAGCUCGAAAUUCUGUAAAAACUUUAUUUGACUGUCCCAAUAAAAUAUCCAAUAAUAUUUCAUCGAGAAUAUAUGUUUUUUAAAAAAUCCAGAUAUUAUAUUUUACACACUAUUAGUGAUUGUAUCUUUUUUUCAUAGAAAAUAAGGAAUAAGAUAAAUCGUUCUGAUCGGACAUAUCUCAGCCGUUGAAUUUAUCUCUGCGUCGGCAUCAUUCCACUAGGUUUCACGCGAUUUCAAAGCUAGUCUCCAUCUCCUUAUCAGUUGGGUUUGUGUCUCUUCAUUUGCCCAAUUUAUAAUUUUAUAUAUCGAUUCUUAUGCAUGAUUACUAAUGCUGGGGAAUUUAGAAUUCCAGUUUUUGCCCACCAGGUGUUUGUUGUGGUUCUUGCUUGGAAAUUAAAUAAAACUCUUCUCAUGUACUAAGCUUUGUUGUAGCUUGAACAUAUAUUAUGUAUAUGAUCCUUAUAACUCUUCGCUGCUGAAUCAUUACUUUUUCUUUCUCAAAUUGAAUAAUCCAAAAUGGGUUUUCCUCGCCAUCUCAAUCAUGUACCCAAAACAACUACGAAAGGUGCAUUUUUUGGCUCCUACGGUGGUGUUCGCAAUGUGUUCGAUGAAAUGCCCCAGAGAAGUUAUACAUCUUUCGCCAAGCGAACACACGAUGAUAUUGGAUACAGGAACAAGUUUUAUAACCCCAGGCUUCGACCAGGCUUUUAUAGAUCCGCCCAUAGCGUCGCAGAUCCCCAAUUCGUCGUAGUUCCGAACACCCGUGAAGAAACUCCCGUUUCCGACUCCAUUCGGGUCUCAAAAGACGCCGAAAAGAUCUGCCGAAUACUCUUGACAAAGACUGGUUCCAGCGUCGAGUCUUCACUCGAUGACUCCGGAGUAGCGGUGUCGCCGGCUCUUGUAGAGGAAACUCUUAAGAGGUUGAGUAAUGCGGGAAUGCUUGCGCUUGCCUUCUUUCGUUGGGCCGAGAAGAGGAAUGGUUUUAUGUAUACGACCGACAGCUUUCACUAUCUGAUCGAAGCGCUUGGAAAGAUCAAGCAGUUCAGGUUGAUUUGGAGCUUGGUGGAUUUUAUGAGACUGCGAGGUUUGGUGACAAAAGAGACCUUUGCAUUGGUUAUACGGAGGUAUGCGAGAGCGAGAAAGAUCAAGGAAGCUAUUGAAACUUUUGAAAAGAUGGGGAAUUUUGGGUUGAGGCCUGAGCUAUCAGAUUAUAAUCGUUUGAUCGAUACGAUUAGUAAGUCGAAGCAAGUUAAGAGGGCGCAGGAGCUAUUCGAUGAAAUGAAGAGGAGGAAAAAGUUCAUGCCCAACUUGAAAACUUACACGAUUCUACUCGAAGGUUGGGGCCAAGAGCGCAACUUAACAAAGCUUAAGAAAGUUUACAAGGAAAUGAUAGAUGAAGGAUUCGAGCCUGACGUCGUUACAUAUGGAAUUCUAAUUAAUGCCUUUUGUAAGUCUGAAAUGUGUGAUGAGGCAAUAAGGAUAUACAACGAGAUGGCGGCGAGUAAUUGUGAACCGACUCCUCAUAUCUACUGCACUCUAAUUAACGGGCUUGGUUCGGAGAAACGAUUAGGUGAAGCUUUGAAGUAUUUUGAGCUAUCUAAAGCUAGUGGGUUUACACCCGAGGUGCCCACUUAUAAUGCAGUUGUGGGCUCUUACUGUGGGGCCGCGAGAUUUGAUGAUGCUUUUGCAGUAGUGAAUGAGAUGAAGAGAAUUGGAAUCGGCCCAAAUUCCCGUACUUAUGACAUAAUUAUCCAUCACUUGAUCAGGGCAGGGAAGGCCGAAGAGGCAUACCGGGUUUUUCAGACAAUGGAGAAGGAUGAGGACUGUUGCCGGCCCCAGCUUAAUACAUAUACUAUGAUGGUCACUUUGUUUUGCAGUAAUGAAAGAGUAGAUAUGGCUUUGAAAAUGUGGAAGCAAAUGAGCGAGAAGGGGAUCGUUCCUUGCAUGCAUAUGUUCUCGUCGUUGAUUAAUGGGCUGUGCUAUGAGAAUAGAUUGGAUGAGGCUUGUCGGUAUUUCCAAGAGAUGCUGGACAAAGGGAUAAGGCCGCCGGGGCAGUUGUUUAGUAAAUUAAAGGAAGCACUAGUUGACGGUAGUAGAAAGGAUUUGGCUAUUGAGAUGAGCUUGAAGUUGGAUAGGUUAAGAAACAAUCCUUUGGAUGAUUAACUACAGUGAGAUCAAGUGAUAGUAAUUUUCAUAACUUUUAAUGCAAACUACAUGGUUGUUUAUAUACUUUCGCAAAGACGCGUGAGAUGUAACAAGAAAUGGAACAAUGUCAGAUCAAUUGUGAGGGCACGCAAGAUGCUGAGGUUUGUAACGAAGGGCGCAGAAUGGUGUAUUUAUUGUGUUGUUAAGUGUUGGUAUGAAGAAACAUUAAAAUUUUGCUUUCGUUGUCCCGCUUACUUGUUUAAACUUGAAUUUCUACCAAGUGGACUUAGAAUCAUCUUAUGAUUUUACCUAACAAAGUGAUUCAUGUUUCGGCAUCUGGUUUCAUUUUGGUCAAUACAUUACCUGGAGAUGUUCUUUACAUACAGUGUAUGAACUCCGACGCCAUUUUGAUGCAUUUAAUAUCAUGGACAGCUUUAUUUUGUAUCAGAUUUUCUUCAGUAUAAGCCUUAUAAUGCUUUGGGAUAUAUUAUGUCAACUUUCCUCUGCCUCUUAUUAGUAGUUGUGGUAUCAACCGAGUGUGGUGCUUUUUUCUUUUUUUUUUUUAACCUUCAUGCCAACUGUGCUAUGAUUUGGGAUUUCAGAUUAUGGAUAAUGUAUGUUAAGGGAAUAUAAAAAAGAUUUGUGUUUGUUUAGUUUGAUGCCAUAUCCCUUUUCUUAUUUUAAACUCAAAUGCAUAUGCUUUUAAGUAGGUUAAAGAUUUUUUUUUUUUUUUGAGAGAGAUAGCACGCUACCCGCUUUGUUUAUUUCAUUUAGAAAUAAACUUAACUGGAAAUGUGAAUCAACUAGCAUUCGAACUUGGGUCUCGGUACCAACCACCAAAUCCUUUUGCCACUUGCGCUAGAGACGGUGGAUAAGGUUAAGGAAUGUUAAAAGCGUACUUUUAGGUGUAUCCAUUUUCUCUUU
rnacentral:lncRNA from 1 species